rnacentral:lncRNA from 1 species
UAUUUAUGCUAUGCCAAGGUAUGUGAAAAUUAAGGACAGAUCCUAUGCUGACCUGAUAAACAAAGAUAGCUCUUUCGAGCUCAAUGUACAUUGAGUGUAACAAGAGGGAAGGAGGGAGGAAACCACUGCCCAUUUGGGAUUCCUUCAAAUUCACAUCUCUCCAAAAUGGGAGACUUGUAUUUUCUGACAUUCAACUUAAUCGAAGAAUAAAGCUUUAACAGUGGCAUCAGUGACAUGAUGAAUGAUGCAUCAUUUUGAAGUAAUAAUGGUUUUCCCAGUGACUCAGAAAUAGCAGUAUGUUCAGAUUCAGUGUGCCUGUUCAUGAGAGCUCUGCAGAAAUUGCACAUCUGGCUCUUUGCCUGUGCACCUGAAGUUAUCUCAGGAGAAAUUAUACAAAUUAAAUACAGACACAGAGAAGGUCUUUUUUAAUUCAAAGGAAAAGAAUAUAUAUUCAAGAAAAGCAAAAAAGGUGGAAGUUGGGCCUUUGGUCAUUAAUUCUCUCUCUCUCUCUUGCUAAUUUUUGCAAAUAGGGAGAACUUGGAACAUCUGCCAAAAUUUUUAUUUUGUGCUUUAUUUUGGCUACCUGUUUAUUCCAUAGAACUAUGACUUGUCCUGGUGAUUCAGGCUUACUCCUUAAUUUCUGAACUGAUUGCCAGAGAGUCAGGGAUAUACACAUACAUUAUAUAUACACACACACACACACACACACACACACACACACACACACACAUAUAUAUAUACACACACAUACAUAUAUAUAUAUACACACACAUACAUAUACAUAUAUGGGAGAUUAUAUCUAUAUCUAUAUCUAUGUCUAUCCCUCCCAUGUUAUUUCCUGCUUUUCUACUACUUGUUCCACUUUCCCCAGGUCUUUUGAAACUAAAAAUAAAAUUAUCACCUCACUGUAAGUAUCAUGUCUUCUGCUUCAGGGGUUGCACACUGCUUCAAGGUAGUAAUUGUUAAUUAUUCAAGACUGACUUCUUGUAAAGUAAUCUUCUAGAAAGACAGCUGGACUUUUAAGACUUCAUGAACUCUAAAGAUAUGGCAGGCCAGGAUCCAAGGCCAAAGGUAUAAUACCUCCAAAAGCUACGGUUAUGAGUCUUGGAAGUCAGCCCUUGGUUGUAUCAGAGGAAAUACAGUUCUCUCUAACCAUGAAUGCUGAAGAGGAAGAAUCAAGCUGGAGGCUAGGAUUAUGCCAUAUCAUACUGCUUUUGGAUCUCAGCACACAGGAUGCCAGGGGAGGGUAAUGUUCUUACCAUGAAGCUUGUCAUCAGAGGUCCAAAAGAAGAGAGCCACAAAAUGUGUACUGUUCAAUGUUGUGUGCACAUCUAGCAUGAAACAUCUUUUGCAUCAGUGACCAAUCUGAGUACUUACAUCUUAACUCUAAGGCACACACUAAAAUACAUAAUGCCUGGUUGUUCCUAGAUACUUACUUGGUAUAAAAUUUAAUUUUUUCUAAAAAUGAUCUUAUAUGGUAGCUUUUUUUUUUGAGACGGAGUUUCGCUCUUGUUGCCCAGGCUGGAGGGCAAUGGCAUGACCUCAGCUCACUGCAACCUCCAUCUCCCGGGUUCAAGCAAUUCUCCUGCUUCAGCCUCCAGAGUAGCUGGGAUCACAGGCGCCCAUCACCAUGCCCAGCUAAUUUUUUGUAUUUUUAGUAGAGACAGGGUUUCCCCAUGUUGGCCAGGCUGGUCUUGAACUCCUGACCUCAGGUGAUCCACCUGCCUCUGCCUCCCAAAGUUCUGGGAUUACAGGCGUGAGCCACCACGCCCGGUCAUAUGUAGCUCUUUACUGUCUUUACAGCAUGAUAGCUGCUUAAUACAUAUUCAAUAUUCAUUGAAUUAUAACAUUCACUGAAUUGCAAUAUUUUUUCUCAUUGUUCACUCUGUUUUCCGAUUUUUCACAUACCCAUCCACAUCCCCAAUGCUCACAACUAGCCGCAACAUGAAUACUUUAAAUCAAUGAAGUCCCUGAAAUAAAAAAUUAUGAAUAAUCAUUAUUUUUGUCGUUUUUGUCAUUGUUUACAUCUAGUGAGACAGAAUUCUUUAUUACCAAAUUCUGUUCACGUUAUAGCCACUUCCUUCUCUGAAACUUCAUUAUCACCAUUAUAGCUUCUGGUAUGAUCAGCUAAUCUCACCAUUACAAAAGUCACUUACCUGAUCCUCCUGAAAAGUGUCUUGACCUAACCCUAAUACAAAGCAUUAAUUUUUUAAGUUUUCUUUUAUGGGAAAUUAUUUACAUUUAAUUAUAACACACAUAUAGUAAAAUGUACAUAUCAUCAAUACACACUUCCACGAAGUUUAACAAAAUGAAUUAAUACAUAUAACCACCAUAGAUCAAAUAAAAUAUUUAAACUUUCAGAUAGCCAUACUAAUGGCCUAAAUGCAAAUCUCUCUGCAUAGUAUUUCAAAAACUGUAGAGAUGAACCGCAAGAACAAAAUGAACACACAUUCUACAUCUUCA